rnacentral:rRNA from 1 species
CCAGACUCCUACGGGAGGCAGCAGUAGGGAAUAUUGCUCAAUGGGGGAAACCCUGAUGCAGCAACGCCGCGUGAGUGAAGAAGUAUUUCGAUAUGUAAAGCUCUAUCAGCAGGGAAGAAGAUGACGGUACCUGAGUAAGAAGCCCCGGCUAACUACGUGCCAGCAGCCGCGGUAAUACGUAGGGGGCAAGCGUUAUCCGGAUUUACUGGGUGUAAAGGGAGCGUAGACGGCAUAGCAAGUCUGAAGUGAAAGCCCAAGGCUCAACCAUGGGACUGCAUUGGAAACUGUUUAACUGGAGUGUCGGAGAGGCAAGUGGAAUUCCUAGUGUAGCGGUGAAAUGCGUAGAUAUUAGGAGGAACACCAGUGGCGAAGGCGGCUUGCUGGACGAUGACUGACGCUGAGGCUCGAAAGCGUGGGGAGCAAACAGGAUUAGAUACCCCAGUACCC